rnacentral:rRNA from 1 species
UACAGAGGUGGCAAGCGUUGUUCGGAAUUACUGGGCGUAAAGGGCGCGUAGGCGGUUCGUUAAGUCCUGUGUGAAAUCCCCCGGCUCAACUGGGGAACUGCACAGGAAACUAGCGGGCUUGAGUUCGGGAGAGGGAAGCGGAAUUCCGGGUGUAGCGGUGAAAUGCGUAGAUAUUGGGAGGAACACCAGUGGCGAAGGCGGCUCACUGGACCGGAACUGACGCUGAGGCGCGAAAGCGUGGGGAGCAAACAGG